UUUAAAUAUUUUGACAUACUAAAUUAUAAAUAAUAAAUUACAUAUAUAAAUAUAAAAUUUUUACCUGAUUCAUAGAUGGACGAGAGUUAAAAGGUUUAUCAAUAUAUUUCUAGACUCCAAGUUGAUCCAGUGCAAUAGAGAAUAAUCAGCUGGUGGUAUUGGAUUGAACGUAGUAGAAAAAAUAGAAAAAUAAAAUUUUUUAUUAAUAUAAAUCACAUUUAAACGAAAAAAAAUAGUAAUAAUGAAAAGAAAAUAAAUCGUGCAUCUCAGUAAAAUUAUAAACCAUCCAAGUGUUUGGCCUCCACACAAAACCCUUAAGAUAAAUGAGGUUUUGAGUGCUAACUCUGUGUUUCUCUUGCAAAAAAAGCUUUCCAAAAGUAAAAGUAGUUUCACUUAGAGUCUUAUAAGAGAUCAUUUUAUACCAAAUCUCUAGAAUUUCAAUAUCACAAUAUUAUUUAUUUAUUUAAUUAAUUUAAAUAAAUAAAUUACAAUAAUAAUACAAAAUUUUACUAAACAUGCUAUAUAAAUUUUAGACAAUUUGCUUUCAAAAAAAUUUUUUUAAAUAAUUUUAAUUAAGUUUCUACUUAAUUAAUUAUAUCAAAAUUAUAAUUCUUUCAAAUUAUAAUUUUAUCUCAAUAUCAAUUUAUAUACAAUCAAGUCUUACUUGCAAUUCUCUGUAUAUAACCCAAUAGAUUCUAAAUAUAUUGAUAAUAAAUAUAAUUAACUAAUUAAUUAAUUUAAAGGUCAAAACAUUGUCUAACAACAUAUCAAAAUUACCCAAAUAUUCAGAAUAUCAAAAGUGGUUUGACUUAAUUUUUCAAUGAAUAACUUAUUAAUAUAAUUAAUAUCUCUUUAUCACAAAUGUUUCUAUUUAACAUUUAAUAUUAAAUAUUAUCUAUUAGCUAUUAACCGAUUGAAUGAAAUUUCAAAACUCAUUUGUUAAUUCGUUCUACUUUGCGCAAGAAUUUCAUAAUUAAUGUUAGCAGAGAAUAAAUAUGACAUUCUCUAAUUUAAUUUGGGGUGAUAAAUUUUAUUUCAAUCACAUAAACACCUUUAUACAAUUUCUAAUAUAUAUAGUUCAUCCACAUUCGUUACUCAUGAAUCAAGUAACGUAUAAGAUGAAUUAAAAUAUAAAAGUUCCUAUAUAAGAUUAUUUAUCGAUUUAAAGUCAAAUGAUUAUCUACACAAUUAUCACUUGAGUAAUCCAUAAAUAUAUGUUAUUUUGUUAGUAUAUUUACCCUAGACUAUUAUCUCGAACCUUUUUGUAUGUCAUUUUGGUUAUUAAUAAAAAGAGAUUUUAUUAUCAUUAUUAUUUGUCUGCAUGUUACAUAAUAAUUAUUAACAUCCUGAUUACUUAUUAUUAUAUUGAUAAUAAUAAAAUAUAACUAGUAUGAUUAUUGAUUGAUAAUCAUGAGAUGAUUAUGUAUAUGUUGAUACAAUUCAAUAAUCAUAGAUACUUGUUAGAGAACAAAGUAUUGGAUGGACCCGCAGUGAGAUCACUACAUGGGUUAUUGUCAUGAGUGAAUCUCAAAGUAGUUAUGUCUUAAUCCUUUGACUUGAGAUUGUCAUAGUUUCUAACAUAAAGACUGUUAUGUUUUGACAUAACCAAACAUUGUCUUUAAUCGAACAAUCAUAAAGGUUAUGAUUGAGCAUAAUAGAAAUUAUGUAGAGGAUAUUGAACAAUCAAGAUAGAAUUUGUCCCUCUCUUUGAGAGAGAUAUCUUCUGGACCCCUCGAUAAGUGAGACUGAGAAAUGCAUGGUCGUGCUCAAAUGAAUUGAUAGUGUAAUCAAUAUCAUUUGAUUUUAUCAGUCUACUUAGAGAUCGAGAAAUCAUAAGUUUGAACAUUUUAAGUUUGACAUUGACCAUGAUUUAUUUUCAAACUUGAUAUCGUGUGACAAAGAGAUUAAUACAUGUUCUAUUUAUUAGGUUUCAUCGGACUAUAGAUCCUCAUAUUAGUUUGAUAGUCAUAAUGUCUUACUAGAGGCCACUUAUGAUUUAUGAGCCUUGUGGAACUGGGCCUAUUGCCAAUUAAUAUGAACCUAUUGGGUCACAUAUAAAAGAACAUUAUUGAUGUGCUAUGUCAUAUCAAUGGGCUAAAAGCCCAUUAGUAUACUUAAUAAUAAUAAAGAUGUUAUUAUUAUUAAUAUUUAUUAUUUAUUAUUAUAAGAUAAUAAUAUUUAAAAGGAUCUGCGGUUUAUCUGUAAUUGUUAUAGAUAAAGACUCUAUCACAUAAGAUAUUUGAGUAUAUGCGAGAUUGUGAUAGUUGGUUAUGAACACAACUCUAUCACAUAAGAUAUUUGAUUAUCUGCGAGAUUGUAAUAGUGGAGAAUAAACACAACUCUUUUAUGAAAAGAAUUGUGGGAAAACAAAAACAUUUAAAACAUAUAAAACUUCUGCUGUGAAUAUGGGGGUUAACAUUUUAAAAAAAAUCGUUUAGAGCUGCAGAUUGAAAAUCACAUAGCUUAUCCAUCUUUGAGAGAGCUAGCACUCUAGAAGAAUAAAAGACGUUUGUAUGGAUACUAUAGCGAAUGUUCGUUGAAAAAGCAGCACCAUCAGUCCGCUAUAGUAUCUUCUUGUCGAAUCUAACAGGUUAGUCUCUAAUCAUUCCUUUCGAAUUAAACGAAGCACUUGGAUCCUGGUAGGAAAAUAGAAAUUUUUUAUUUCAGCUGCGUGUUUUGGGCUGCAGUAAUCUAUUGAUUUCCUAACAUAUUUUUCAUAUGAAUUUUUCAGACAAGUCAAUUCAGUACACUUAUUUAUAAAAUAAACAUUUAUAUAUUAGUUUUAAAUAUCUCAUAUAUCUUAACUCAUGAGAUCAGUUGUUUACUAUAAAAAAAAAAGUACUAAUCUCAACAGCUCUAAUCAUUGUCCAUUCAUAAUAAGAAUAUCGAUCAGGAACAUUUGGAGAUAUUAUUUAAAUGCAAUAGGAAUUUCACAAUCAUAACUACAUUAUAAUUUCCUCUACACGUGAAUUUUAUUUUUAUUUGAAAUUUAAUUAAAUUAAUAUUAAACAUAAAUAAUAAUCUUUAUAAAAUGUAUUUAAAUAUUUAAAAUAUAUGAAAAAUAAUAUCAAAUUAUGAUUAAUAGAUUUACAGUAGAUCAUAUUAUUGGAUACAAUGGAAAACUAUUAAAGCAUGAGUUAUAGAAGAUGAUUGGAGCUUUAGCUUAUGUCAGCAAUAAUCAUAUGAGAUGAGGAUAUGAUAACGAAAGAGAGAGAGGAAUGAGAGAGUUUUCUAUGGUUGGGGAUGAGGGAAUCGAGAUAAAAGAAAAUAGAAAAUGCAAUAAUUUUUUACUUUUUAUGAUUAAUGUAUUUAUGUUCCUUUUAGUUGGGGUAUUUUACAGUGGAUGAAGGUAUUUAAGAUUUUUUACAGGUAACUAACAAAAUUUUUUAAUAAUUUAUUCUCAUUGAUAUAGUUGUAUUUUAAAAAGUGAAUGACAUUUUAAUCGAAAUUAAGAAUUAUAAGGAUGGAUUAAUAAAUAUUUUAAAAAUUCAGAAACCCUAUAAUAAUUUCGUUAUUUUUAAAAUUAAAAAUAUUUGAAGUAAACAAAAUUUUAAUCAACUAAAUUUUAACUAAUUAUUUUUUAUAAACAAUUCAUAAGAAUUAUUUGUUCAAAAUUAAGAUGUGCAUGGAAAUUGAAACCAGAUUAAAUAAAUUUUAAAAUGAUAAUAAAUAUAUUUUCAUUUUAAAAAAUUAAAUUAAAUCAAAUAAAACCAAAUCAAAAUAUUUGAUUUAAUUAAUUUAGUUAUCCCAUGAUUUUUCUUUCUCCAAUUAGAUAUUGUACUAUUCAUCUAUAUUGAAUAUUUUUAUUAUUUAAUCUAUAUAAUUUUAAUAAUAUAUACUAUUAAAAUUCUGAUGUAGAUAAAAUGGAUUGUAAUAUUUACAGCCGGAUUAUGAAUAGAUUCUAUUACAAAUAAAAUAUUUGAGAAUUUAAUUUUAAAAUCUACCCAAAUUUUAAAUAUAAUAUCAAAUAUUUUUGUAUAUUUCAAUAUUUAAAUUCACACAACACUGAAUGUACCUAAGAUUUCAAUCAAACCGAUAUUCCUAAGAGAUUUAUCAAGACAAAUGCAUGGGAAGAAGAGAUUACAGAUUAAACAAAUCUAGGUUCAUUAGAAACAAAAAAGAAAAUCAUUGAAAUCAAAUAUGUUACACCCAAAUGGAGACUUAUUUGUUGAUGAAGACCUCAAAAGCAAACUACUCAAAUGAUUUAUUCAUCAAACCUAAAUUCAUUAUUCCUAACUUCGUUAAAACCCAAAUAAAAACUUGUUUGUUGAUGGUGAUCUUGAGAAGCCAAAAUCUUUGUAAUAAUUAACUAGCGGGUAUUGGAUAUUUUCAAUGAAAUAAUUCUCUUAAUUUAUUUUUUAAGAGGGGUAGAAAUUUAUGGGAGAGGUUAUGUCGCUAAAUUAGACUGAAACGCGUGAGAUCACACAUUCUUUAAUGAGAAUAUCUUAUUUUAUUUCUUUUUCCGCAUCAGGUAUGCUUACUGUUAUUCGAAGGUUUAUCUAGAGAUUUGGAUCAAUUUCUUUUCUUAUUGAUUUGAACUCAUCUUUGUUAUUCUUUACUUUUCUGUAGAAAUAUAAUAAAAGACGCAGAAUUAGUAAAAAAUCAUUUAGAUUGGUGAUAGAGAAAAAAACAAAAUAUAUGCUAAAUUUGUAUUCUAUUAUGAGCCACACAUAAAAUCGCAUGCAUUAACACUAUAGAUGUAUAUAGACCCAAUUAAGAUAAAAAUUAUAUGGUGUUUCCUCACACUAACUUGUUGGUGUUUCAUUCAACUAAGCUUUGGUACCAUGUCUACAACAAUAGUGAAACAAGCGAAAUCAGAAAAGAACGUAAUGGAGAAGAAAAACUUAGAAUUUUUACAAUUUUAUUGAACCAAGCGUCAACCUAAUAUAAGAUUGCAUUAGACAGGAAAUAAAUAAAUAAAAACAACUUCAGAUUAUUCAACAGAACGCAUUGAUCAUUGAUCAUGUACUAUAAGUCUAAAAUAAGCUUCUAAACUUUUAUCAAAAUUUUUUUUAAAAAAAAGCUCACUUUAACCUUGUUAUCAAAUAAAAAUUUUAAGUUUCUCUCGGUAUAUUGUUGCUAUCAUUCUCAUUCCAUAUAUUUAUCACCGGAAUAAUUCCUUCAAGAGUUUGAAUUAUCUGUAUGACAAAACACACGGUAAAAUAAUUAUAUGUUAACUAUAUAAAUAAUAAUCUUUUAUAUUUUAAAUAUUUUAACAUACUAAAUUAUAAAUAAUAAAUUACAUAUAUAAAUAUAAAAUUUUUACCUGAUUCAUUGAUGGACGAGAAUUAAAAGGUUUAUAUAAACAAGCCGCAGCACAACCAAUCAUUCGGUUCAUUUCCUCUCUAUUAUAUUCUGUCAAUUUCAAAUCAACAAGUGCCGUAUGAUUUCCGGCCAAUGCUUGUCUAAUUGGAUCCCUUGCCUGGA
rnacentral:lncRNA from 1 species